rnacentral:rRNA from 1 species
UACGUAGGGGGCGAGCGUUGUCCGGAAUCAUUGGGCGUAAAGCGCGUGUAGGCGGCCCGGUAAGUCCGCUGUGAAAGUCCAGGGCUCAACCCUGGGAUGCCGGUGGAUACUGCCGGGCUAGAAUCCGGAAGAGGCGAGUGGAAUUCCUGGUGUAGCGGUGGAAUGCGCAGAUAUCAGGAGGAACACCAAUAGCGAAGGCAGCUCGCUGGGACGGUAUUGACGCUGAGGCGCGAAAGCGUGGGGAGCAAACAGG